rnacentral:lncRNA from 1 species
CUUAAGUGUGCUAUGCAGACACACCCGGCAAUCCUGCAUCAACCAAUCACAGACAAGGGAGAGACACCCAGGAGGUGUACUUCCUGUAUUUGGUGAGAGAGGAAUGGAGCAGGAGAGAGAGUGAAAGAGUGAGAGAGAGAUAGUGAGUCAUCGAGCUUUAUCUCGGGGUCAACAGUAACUGAUCACGUCAGUGUUGGAGGAAGGAGAACAGAUUGAUUUGUGAGAUACAGUCCGCGGCCUUUCAUUUGCUUUGUCCAGAUUCCUCUGUUCAUUAACAGCGGCUGUGAAGACAAGACAGAGACAAAAAGAGGAGGGGGAAGAUAAGUGUCAAUCUGUUCAGACUUGUUUGGGAAUUUGAGCAGGGAAGGAGGGAGGAGGGGUGAAACAGCAAGAAGGAGAAGAGCAGAGGGGAGAGGUUGACAGACAGACCGAGAAGGAAACAGAUGCGGAGAGAGACAGAGGGUCAGGAUUGGAUUAAAGUUGAAAUAGAACUUUGUUCGCCAUUCUGACGCCCCCCCCAGCAGAUCUGGAGAGGAAGGAGGAUUGCUUGUGUUGUGCAAUCGUUGUUAGUUCACACUACUGAACUAACUGAGAGCUGCAGAGAGAAGGGAGACUGGACAUCUCUUGCGUACUAAACUCAGGUUCUAAAAACAGUAUGUUACCAUGGGGACCAAACGUCCCAGUCUGACUCCCUUUGAUACAUUUGAUCCAUCCAAUCAAAGCGCUUCCUACCGGAACCCUCAGCCAAUCAGCCAGAUCUACCGCGAAACAAGUCCCAGACCUGGAACUGUGGCCCGGACAGACAGAGAGAGGGAGAGGAUCCGAGAGGAGGAAUGGAGGAGAGAAAGAGAAAUGGAGAGAUUGAAGGACAAGACAAGAAAUAGAAGAAAAGAGAUGGAACCCGGACCAAGAGAGAGGAACAGAGAGAAGGAGUGUGCCCUCAUAUCCAGAGGGGGGGAGGAGGAAAGGGAAGGGAGAGAGAAAGAAAGGGGGGGAGCGGGAGAGAGACGUGCCAAUGGAAGACCUACUUCAAAUCUGGAGAUCAGGAACCACAGAGACAGAGAAAAGGAGAGAAAGAAAGGAGACACGUUUCCUAGAAUGGUAAAACAUAGCAAAGAGAGAGACAGAAGAAUGAGUGCAUUUGUGGAGGAAGAUGUGGGGAAAGAAGGAAUGAGACAAUUGGAGAGACCGAAGGGAACAGAGAUGGACAACUGGGAGAGAGAACGAGAGACAGCAGCAAAGAUACAGCGGUAUCGAGAUGCAGAGAGGGACUUCCAAAGGCACAGGGAGAGGGAGAGGGACUUCCAAAGGCACAGAGAGAGGGAGAGGGAGAGAAUCAGGGCACAGGAGGACGGAGAGAAAAAUGGAGGGAGGCCCAUGGAGGAUAAUACCGUGAGACGGAGGGAGAGAGCGAGGGAAGCGGAGCCAGAUUUCAGAGAGAGGAGAAGAGAGAGGGAUUCAAAGGGUAAUGACCUAUGGAGCAAAAGAGAGAGGUAUAUGGAUGGAGAGAGAGAGAGGUCAAAACUACGGCAGGGAGAAAGAGAGGAUGGAAGAAGAGAGGGAGAUUCACAGAACUAUUCGGAUAGAGAGGGCAGGGAUGGAAGGAGGGAAGGAAAUACCGAGGGACAGAGGGACACCAGGAGUGAGGGAGACAGUGAUGGAGAGAAAAAGAAAGAGAGAGUGAGAGAUGACAACAGAAGAGAACUGAAACAUCUGCACAGUAAAAGUGAGGGGGGCACUGAGGGGAACGCAGCAUGGGAUAGAGUGAGGGAGAAAGAGAAGGAGAGACAGAAAUGGAGAGGGGGGGAGAUGUACAGAGAGAGGGAUGGAAGGAGAGAUGCUUAUAGACAGAGAGUUAGGGAAGGGGACAGGGAUGGAAAGAGUGACAUGGAGAGAUACAGAGAGAGGGACAGGAGAAAAGUGAGGGAAGUGGAGAGAGAGAGGGAUGAGGUGAGAGAAGGGGGCAGGCGAGAGGACAGACCAAGGGAAAGGAGGGACCUAGACAAAGUGAGGGUGGGAACACAGCCCAAUGUAACUGGAGAGAGAGGGAAGCAGAUGGAUGGAGAGAGAUUCAGAGAGAGGGAGAGAUAUUCCAAGGAGGAGGAUGAAGAGAGGAGGUGCAGGGAGAAGAGGGACAGAGAGACAGAUCCCAAAAGGGAGGGAGAAGCAGACGGAGCUAGUCGAUCGCUGAGCGAGACAGCCCCAAGGGUGCCACCACGAGUCCAGAGCAGCGGAGAAUGGAGCAGUGACAUAGAGAGGGAAAGAAAAUGGAGAAGAGGAAGAGAAAGUCAUGAAGAGAAGGAGUCAGAGGGAGAGAAGGAUGUGGACAAGGGGCAGAGAGACUGUAGUGAAAGAGAGAGACCAGAUAGAGUGAGGGGGAGAGAAGAAGGAAAGGAAGAGACGAUACCAAAGCGCCCUGAGCAGAGGAGGAUGUGGUUAUUACCACAGAGGGUCAGAUUUAACAAAGACUCCUCUUUAGAGGAUGAGGUUAUAGAGCGAGAAAGAGAUAGGCACACUAACAGAUGGAGAGAGAGAAGUGAAGAAGAGGACAGAUCCGUGGAACAAUGGACAGGCAGAGAUAAAGAGAGGAAGACAGAGGGAGAAGGACAAGAGGAUAGGUCGGUGGAACAAAGAAAGUCCAUAGACGAAGAGAGAGAAGCUGAGAGGGAGGGAGGGAGGGAGAGGUUUUUGGAGAGAGGGUUAAAUGUAGAUGAAGACGAUGAGACAGAAGCCUGGAGGAGUUAUAGCAGAGGAGAGGAACACCAGACUUACAGCGAUGGAGAGAGAGAGGAACGCUGGCAGAGGGACAGGGAGACGGAGAGAGAGGAACGCUGGCAGAGGGACAGGGAGACGGAGAGAGAGGAACGCUGGCAGAGGGACAGGGAGACGGAGAGAGAGAAUGUGACAGAUAACACAGAGGGUGACAGAGAGGAAGAAGGAGGAAGUGAUAGAUAUACACUCUUCGAGAGCGAUGGAGGAAGUGAUAGAGAGUGGGAAGGAAGGAGGGAUAGAAUCCCUUCCUCUGAGGACGGCUUUAUCACUGUGUCCAGUGGUGGAGAAGAGGAGUUUGAGGACUGCAAGGAAUUCUUGGAAGUUGGGGUUGCUAUUCAUGUUACCAGGCAACCUGUUAGCUUUCAGGGGAGCGAGGGAGAGAUGAAGAUUGGUGGAGGGAGAAGACAUGAAAGAGAGAGAGAAAGAACAGAAGAGAGGACAGAGCAAAAGGAUGAUGCAGUGGAGGGAGAGGUGAAUGAUGGAAAGGGGAAGAAGCAACCCACCUAUGUAUUCUGUGUGAUUGGACAAACACUGCCCAGGUCAAAACCCAAUCAGACAGCAGUCUUGGGUGACAUGGAAUCAGAGUGGACCAAUCAAAAUCCUGGAUAUGGUCAUAGGGACAGUGAUGACAUCACACACCUCCCUCAUGAGAACCCUUCCAGAGAUGGAGACCAAGGGGCAGAGGAUGAGAGAAAAAUAGUGAGGGAUGAGAUCCAUGUGCCAAAGGAGGAGAGAACAGACACAGAAGAGAGCUCCAUAGUGGACGUCAGUCACACCACCCUAGAACGAGAGAGCGGAGAACGACUGAAGGUCAUGGAGGAGAACCCWUACGCUGAGAUAGAGCGAAGGAGGAACUCUGAGACCGAAAAACUCCUCAAAGAGUGGAGAGAAAGACAUGAAGAGUACACAGAAACAAGAGAGAGGGACCCAACAGACAGGAGGAGGAYAGAACCAGAGAUAGGUCCAUCUUCRCAUCCCAGUGGAGAGUACCACCACCAUGGGAUCCCUGUAGUUGACCAAGCCACCUCUGACCAGAAURACCCUGKAGUGAUGAGCCCAGAGGAAGCUGUGGCCAUCCARAUCUGUAUAAGGGGAGCCUGGAGCACAGAAGAGGAGRCMAAGCGCCACUCCCAGGCCUCACACAUGAAGUGGGCCAAGAACGUAUUGAGCGAGAUCCUUGGCAGCUCGGAGGAACCAGCCCUCGGCAACCCCCAGCCAGAGUCACAGGGAAGUCAAGAGGUCAGCCAGACURCGAGAGGGACCGAGAGGGUAGAAGAGGAGCUAGAGGAAGAAAAGGAUGAGACGCUAGAGGGGGGAGGAGCCUCACCCAUCUACGCCACGGUUCAGAAGAGGAAGAAGCGUGGGAGGAAGUCGGUGGAGGAGAGGCUGGCUGAACAGGAGGCAGAGCCAGGGAAGCUGGAGGAUGAGAGAGGUACAGGGGAGAAACUAACAGACGUGCAUGCUGAGGCUUUCACAGCUAUGCUUGGUGAUGGCAAACCCAUAGACAUGCAUGCUGCCCUGACCCUACACAAUACUCAUGGUGACACACCUACAGACACACAGGGAGAGGAGGUGGAGGGUAACAAUGUGUGUGCAGACAGACAAACAGACAGUCAUAUACAUAUCCAGGUAGAGAUGGUGACAGAGGAUGAGGGUGAGAUGGAGAAAGGGAUCGAAGUUGGGGACGAGGUUCAUAUACUGGAUGCAGAGAAAGAAGUGAAUGCCCAGAAAGAGGAAGAUCUGUUUCUCUCUGUGAGCAACACCCUGUACAAACCAACCAGCUGCCCCAGCCUUAUAUACAACCCUGAUUCAAAACAACCUAUCACCACCAUAGAGGAAAAGRYRGAGGAAGAAGGGGAGAAAGAGAGGACUGUGGGAGAUGGGGAAGAGAAUAGUGUGGUAGAGAGGAAGCAGGAAAGGAGGAUAGAGGAUGGGACCGAGGACAGGGGGAAAGUGGGAGAGGCGACUGAGGAGAGGAAAGUGGAAAGGGAGGAGGAGAAGAGGGUAGGAGGGGAAGAGGAGAGGGUGAGGGAGGGCAAGGAAGAGAGUAAAAAAACGGGAGGAGGGGGGGUGAAGAGCACUUGUAGCUUCCAAGAUUUGGGCACCGAUGUUCGGUAUAGGAGGCGGGGGUUCCGCAAGACAACAGAAAGAAGAAACGAGGAAGAAGAAGAAGGAAGAGGAGAUGCAAGGGAUCGCAGAACAAGAAUAUUCCAGGAGUCAGAUGAGGAGGAGGAGGAGGUGAGCUUCCACUGGGGAGACGUGGACCUGAGGUGAGUAGAAGAUAGCAGGGGGAGGGAGGGGGCACAUGUAAUGUAGGUGCACUGGGCUACCACAGUGACUGUGUGUUUUUAUUACAUUGUCAUAUUUUAUGACCACUUGCCAUGUAUAGAGUCAGUCUUUUGAUGUCAUGCAUGCAAUAUGUACAGUUAGAUCUGUUGCCUGCAAUUUAACCCUAACACUAGGCUGUGUUAGUUAGUGCCUGAGUAAAAAUAGUAGAGAUAAAUGUACCACACUACUUCUGUAGAUGAAGUGGGAACGAUUCCCUGACUUGACUCCUGUCUCUCACUCUGUCCAGGAAUGUCACGGAUACCAUCAGAAUGGCUAGGAGGAACUCCAAAUUUUACAGUGAGUAUCUCUGCUCUACCUCUUCUGCACUACUUCUACUGCUCUGCCUCUACUGCUCUGCGUCUACUGCACUACUUCUACUGCUCUACUUCUACUGCACUACCUCUACUGCUCUACUUCUACUGCUCUACUUCUACUGCACUACCUCUUCUGCACUACUUCUACUGCUCUGCCUCUACUGCUCUGCUUCUACUGCUCUGCCUCUACUGCUCUGCUUCUACUGCUCUACUUCUACUGCUCUACUUCUACUGCUCUACCUCUACUGCACUACUUCUACUGCUCUACUUCUACUGCUCUAC